rnacentral:rRNA from 1 species
UUUGAUCNUGGCUCAGGAUGAACGCUGGCGGCGUGCUUAACACAUGCAAGUCGAACGAACCUUCGGGUUAGUGGCGGACGGGUGAGUAACGCGUGAGAAUCUGCCCUCAGGAGGGGGAUAACGGCUGGAAACGGCCGCUAAAACCCCAUAUGCCGAGAGGUGAAAUGGAUUUCGCCUGAGGAUGAGCUCGCGUAGGAUUAGCUAGUUGGUGAGGUAAAGGCUCACCAAGGCAUCGAUCAGUAGCUGGUCUGAUAGGAUNAUCACCCACACUGGGACUGAGACACGGGCCAGACUCCUACGGGAGGCAGCAGUGGGGAAUUUUCCGCAAUGGGCGCAAGCCUGACGGAGCAACGCCGCGUGAGGGAUGAAGGCCUCUGGGCUGUAAACCUCUUUUAUCAAGGAAGAAG